CAACCAGGGAGGUUAGGGAGAUGGGGACACACCAGCCGGUCUCACGUCUCGCGAUACUACAGCCGGACGGCGUGAACCAGCGUGUGCGCGGAGAAACAGGCAUAACAUUUUGUGUGCAGAACUAUCUGUCACAAAUGGCCAUGUUGAUCAAAGCAUUUGAAGGUGAAGCCACCCAUACUGAGUGUCCGGCAUGACGUACAGAGGAAAGAGAUCCACAUAUUUUGAGGAGAACAUUGUCAGAAGGUCGCCUAAUUGUUGCUGCACCAUGGGAGAAAAAGCUGCAGAGAAAUGAAUUCCCUUAAUGGAUCCUGUUUGGAGAGAAUGGAAAAGAAUAGAGAUGUCAGCGAGUACAGAAGUUAGUUCUUGAUGUGGAUAAUCCCUGGCCCAUCCCAGGUUGUGCUCAGAGGGGUUCACAGAGUCUAUUUAUAUCCAAGGCUUUAUCAAUAUUAGACUAUUAUCUCCUGUGUUGGACUAAGUAAUGAGGCAUAAGAAUAGGGCAACCAGAACAUUCCUCUGGUUUGGUUUUCAACCCCAGCCUCAGCAUGGUAGAGUUCUCCUGAGUGCUAGAGUCUUGGUAGAAUGGUAGAAUCCUGAGGAGCUAGAAUAGACUGUACAAUUCAACUGGGGAAAUACAUUUUUAAAUGCCCCUCUAUGUUUUGUUUUGUUUUUUUAAUCCUUCCUGCAAGUUAAAAAAAAUAACCCUAGAAGAGCAGGAAGUGAGUUUGGCUAGAAUAAUUCCCCUUGAAGUACUCCUUCCUUCCUUUUUUUAAAGGCAGGAUUUCUUUGUUUUUUUUAAUGUGGGAGUAUUCAAAAAUGGAUCCCACCUGCAGCCUGAAGUGUAGAGUCCACUAUUCUGCUGCAUAUGUGUAUGUAGCAGAAUGCACAUUGGAAUUGCCAGAAUGACAUUUACUACCUUCCAACCUGGACACUAGACAUAGACAUGUGAACUUCUCAUUCAGGGGCAAAACUAGUGUAACAAACUCUGAAGACCUGUGUGCAAGAAUUCAACAUGGGUCCCAUCAGAUAAUUUCCCGAUAGGGAUCAAUGGGAAAGUAAAAAAGAUUAAUAACUUCUGACUGGCUGGGCAGAAAGCUAUGAAAUUUCACAUGGUGUCAAAUUAAAUUAGACACUCAAUGCUGUCACAUUAUGAUAGCAUUAAGUGUGUGGACUUUUAAGGAUAUUGGUUCAUUUGCUGAUUUUUAAUGAAUUGUAAAAAAAAGUUUCUAAAACUGUUUAACUGUUUAAAAUAAUUGCUUUGUUUCAUGGCAGAAAGUUACAAAAGGUUAUGGAAUUGUAUCUUCCGCUCUGUCUAUUGUUCAAGCCUCAUUUGGAGGAAACUGAUCAACCUUCAUAUAAAAAAGAG